GGUGUCUGGGCUUGCUGCAUUAGUCCAUCCAGAUAAGCAAGUCUGGGCUUGCUGCAUUAGUCCAUACAGAUAAGCAAGUCUGGGCUUGCUGCAUAAGUCCAUACAGAUAAGCAAGUCUGGGCUUGCUGCAUUAGUCUAUCCAGAUAAGCAAGUCUGGGCUUGCUGCAUUAGUCUAUCCAGAUAAGCAAGCCUGGGCUUGCUGCAUUAGUCCAUCCAGAUAAGCAAGUCUGGGCUUGCUGCAUUAGUCUAUCCAGAUAAGCCAGCCUGGGCUUGCUGCAUUAGUCCAUCCAGAUAAGCAAGUCUGGGCUUGCUGCAUUAGUCCAUACAGAUAAGCAAGUCUAGGCUUGCUGCAUUAGUCCAUCCAGAUAAGCAAGUCUGGGCUUGCUGCAUUAGUCCAUACAGAUAAGCAAGUCUGGGCUUGCUGCAUUAGUCCAUCCAGAUAAGCAAGUCUGGGCUUGCUGCAUUAGUCCAUACAGAUAAGCAAGUCUAGGCUUGCUGCAUUAGUCCAUCCAGAUAAGCAAGUCUGGGCUUGCUGCAUUAGUCUAUCCAGAUAAGCAAGUCUGGGCUUGCUGCAUUAGUUCAUACAGAUAAGCAAGUCUGUACAGGCUAAUCAGGGACAAUACUUUCCUCUUUUAUGUAGUGUUUUGUUGAAAAGAAGGUGUCUUCUAAAUGAAAAUCCAAUUUAGGCAGAAAGUGUUGUCCCUGAUUAGCUUAUGAAGACAGACCUAUAAUCUGGGACAACACGUAACACACAUGCAUUAAGCCCAGUUUUCCCAGAACAAGGCUUGACUCUGUUUGGUAAAAUAGCAGUCUUACAUGGUAAUAUAUUCAAAAACAAUGAAUAAAGUAAGUUUGAAAACAGAGAAAUAACACUCCUGACUAAGAAAAAAUUAAAAAUACUGGUUCAUUAAUUUAUAAUUUGUUCAAAUAAUAAAGCGUUUGUAACGCUUUUCCUCAAUAAAAUUGAUAAAACGUAUCCAUAAUAAUUUGCAGAUACAUUUUAAAGUAUGUGUUUCAUGAUUGUAUCACACUAGCUUUUGCUUCGAGAGGUCUGGAGUUCAAAUCCUGUUGACAGCAAUAAUUUUAUGCCCCCCUUCGAAGAAGAGGGGGUAUAUUGCUUUGCUCAUGUCGGUCUGUCGGUCGGUCGGUCUGUCGGUCCGUCCACCAGGUGGUUGUCAGACGAUAACUCAAGAACGCUUGGGCCUAGGAUCAUGAAACUUUAUAGGUACAUUGAUCAUGACUCGCAAAUGACCCCUAUUGAUUUUGAGGUCACUAGGUCAAAGGUCAAGGUCACAGUGACCAGAAAUAGUAAAAUGGUUUUUGAAUGAUAACUCAAGAACGCAUACGCCUAGGAUCAUGAAACUUCAUGGGUAGAUUGAUCAUGACUGCAGAUGACCCCUAUUGAUUUUUUGGUCACUAGGUCAAAGGUCAAGGUCACGGUGACCCGAAAUAGUAAAAUGGUUUCCGUAUGAUAACUCAAGAACGCAUACGCCUAGGAUCAUGAAACUUCAUGGGUAGAUUGAUCAUGACUCGCAGAUGACCCCUAUUGAUUUUGAGGUCACAAGGUCAAAGGUCAAGGUCACGGUGACCCGAAAUAGUAAAAUGAUUUUAGGAUGAUAACUCAAGAACCCUUAUGCCUAGGAUCAUGAAACUUCAUAGGUACAUUGAUCAUGACUCGCAGAUGACCCCUAUUGAUUUCAGGUCACUAGGUCAAAGGUCAAGGUCACUGUGACCCAAAAUAGUAAAAUGGUUUCUGGAUGAUAACUGAAGAACGCUUAUGCCUAGGAUCAUGAAACUUGAUUGGUAGAUUGAUCAGGACUCGCAGAUGACCCCUAUUGAUUUUCAGGUCACUAGGUCAAAGGUCAAGGUCACAGUGACAAAAAACAUAUUCGCACAAUGGCUGUCACUACAACGUAGAGCCCAUAUGGGGGGCAUGCUUGUUUUACAAACAGCCCUUGUUUUGAUUCUUUGUAUGCCCCCUUCGAAGAAGAGGGGGUAUAUUGCUUUGCUCAUGUCGGUCUGUCGGUCCGUCCACCAGGUGGUUGUCAGACGAUAACUCAAGAACGCUUGGGCCUAGGAUCAUGAAACUUCAUAGGUACAUUGAUCAUGACUCGCUGAUGACUCCUAUUGAUUUUGAGGUCACUAGGUCAAAGGUCAAGGUCACGGUGACCAGAAAUAGUAAAAUGGUUUUUGAAUGAUAACUCAAGAAAGCAUAAGCCUAGGAUCAUGAAACUUCAUGGGUAGAUUGAUCAUGACUUGCAGAUGACCCCUAUUGAUUUUUAGGUCACUAGGUCAAAGGUCAAGGUCACGGUGACCCGAAAUAGUAAAAUGGUUUCCGUAUGAUAACUCAAGAACGCAUACGCCUAGGAUCAUGAAACUUCAUGGGUAGAUUGAUCAUGACUCGCAGAUGACCCCUAUUGAUUUUGAGGUCACAAGGUCAAAGGUCAAGGUCACGGUGACCCGAAAUAGUAAAAUGAUUUUAGGAUGAUAACUCAAGAACGCUUUUACCUAGGAUCAUGACACUUCAUAGGUACAUUGAUCGUGACCCGCAGAUGACCCCUAUUGAUUUUCAGGUCACUAGGUCAAAGGUCAAGGUCACAGUGACAAAAAUCGUAUUCACACAAUGGCUGCCACUACAACGGACAGCCCAUACGGGGGGCAUGCAUGUUUUACAAACAGCCCUUGUUUACUAUUAUUUGUAGUAAGACUUUUCAAAAUAAUAUAAAUACUGACUGACAUUUUUCAAAAAAAUGAAAAUCUUUUAACAAGUCCCUGUAAAGCAAUGAGAAAUAUUUUAUAAAGAUUCUGAGUUGCAUGACAGUUUCAGUUGUUAUUGUAUUUAAGUGAGGGUUUCAUAACAAUCAUAGGCUGAAUGGUUUAAAAGAACAAAAGUAAAAUAAAACCAAAGCUAUUCUUCUUGCGCAUUUCCAAGGAUUGGUUUUUUAACACUAUUUAUUGGUCUUCUAAUAGAUAAUAUUAAGUAUAUUUAGUUUAAAUGGACUUGACCAUUUUCAUAGACUCCAGAACCUAAUUAUGUUAUACACUAAAAACAUAUUCAGACAAGCUAAGCAAA